AUUGAACGCUGGCGGCAUGCCUUACACAUGCAAGUCGAACGGCAGCACGGGAGCAAUCCUGGUGGCGAGUGGCGAACGGGUGAGUAAUAUAUCGGAACGUGCCCAGUCGUGGGGGAUAACGUAGCGAAAGCUACGCUAAUACCGCAUACGAUCUAUGGAUGAAAGCGGGGGAUCGCAAGACCUCGCGCGAUUGGAGCGGCCGAUAUCAGAUUAGGUAGUUGGUGAGGUAAAGGCUCACCAAGCCGACGAUCUGUAGCUGGUCUGAGAGGACGACCAGCCACACUGGGACUGAGACACGGCCCAGACUCCUACGGAGGCAGCAGUGGGGGAAUUUUUGGACAAUGGGCGCAAGCCUGAUCCAGCAAUGCCGCGUGCAGGAUGAAAGGGCCUUCGGUU
rnacentral:rRNA from 1 species